CCGGGGCGGAGCGAGGCGGCCGCCGCCGCGGCCGGAGGCGGAUUCCUCAGGUGCUGCCCCUCCCGCUUCCCCAGAACCUCCGCGGCGGGGACCCCCGCGCCCCCUCCCUCCGCCCCGCCUCUCGGCCUCCCGCCGCCUAGGCGCCCGCGAGGGCCCUUCAGGGCUCCCGGCCCUCCUGGAGUGGAGUGAGCGGACGGUUCCCUACCCACCCUCCGAGGACGCCCCCAACCCAGGUUGCAGCCCUCAGCACAGUGUGCCGCGCCUCCAUUUCCAAAUCCGCAGCCUCCGUGACGUGUCCAUACAGAAAGAAUUGACUGGAAGUCUGGAACUGUCAGAAAAUAACUCAAGGCAUAGUUCAGUUGUGAGUUGCAAAAAAUGUUGUCAGAAUCCCUGUCCCCACUCCCUCCUCAGGAAAUCUGACACAAGCUGA
ensembl:lncRNA